GGGUUGUCAUGCCAAUGGCACUGCCCGGUAGCUAAAUGCGGAAGAGAUAAGUGCUGAAAGCAUCUAAGCACGAAACUUGCCCCGAGAUGAGUUCUCCCUGAGACUUUAAGUCUCCUGAAGGAACGUUAAAGACGAUGACGUUGAUAGGUCGGGUGUGUAAGCGCAGCGAUGCGUUGAGCUAACCGAUACUAAUGAACCGUGAGGCUUAACCUU
rnacentral:rRNA from 2 species